rnacentral:lncRNA from 1 species
UGUCCAUAAUGUUAGGUGAUGUGUGUCUGUCUACUAGGUGUCCAUAACGUUAGGUGAUGUGUGUCUGUCUACUAGGUGUCCAUAACGUUAGGUGAUGUGACUUCCUGUGUGUCUGUCUACUAGGUGUCCAUAACGUUAGGUGAUGUGUGUCUGUCUACUAGGUACCCAUAACGUUAGGUGAUGUGACUUCCUGUGUGUCUGUCUACUAGGUGUCCAUAAUGUUAGGUGAUGUGUGUCUGUCUACUAGGUGUCCAUAACGUUAGGUGAUGUGUCUGUCUACUAGGUGUCCAUAACGUUAGGUGAUGUGUGUCUGUCUACUAGGUGUCCAUAACGUUAGGUGAUGUGACUUCCUGUGUGUCUGUCUACUAGGUGUCCAUAACGUUAGGUGAUGUGUGUCUGUCUACUAGGUGUCCAUAACGUUAGGUGAUGUGUGUCUGUCUACUAGGUACCCAUAAUGUUAGGUGAUGUGUGUCUGUCUACUAGGUGUCCAUAAUGUUAGGUGAUGUGACUUCCUGUGUGUCUGUCUACUAGGUGUCCAUAAUGUUAGGUGAUGUGCGUCUGUCUACUAGGUACCCAUAAUGUUAGGUGAUGUGUGUCUGUCUACUAGGUGUCCAUAACGUUAGGUGAUGUGUGUCUGUCUACUAGGUACCCAUAAUGUUAGGUGAUGUGACUUCCUGUGUGUCUGUCUACUAGGUACCCAUAAUGUUAGGUGAUGUGACUUCCUGUGUGUCUGUCUACUAGGUGUCCAUAACGUUAGGUGAUGUGUGUCUGUCUACUAGGUGUCCAUAAUGUUAGGUGAUGUGUGUCUGUCUACUAGGUACCCAUAAUGUUAGGUGAUGUGUGUCUGUCUACUAGGUGUCCAUAACGUUAGGUGAUGUGUGUCUGUCUACUAGGUACCCAUAAUGUUAGGUGAUGUGACUUCCUGUGUGUCUGUCUACUAGGUACCCAUAAUGUUAGGUGAUGUGACUUCCUGUGUGUCUGUCUACUACGUGUCCAUAAUGUUA